CCAAAAUGAUGUUGCUUUGGUUCCGGCGAUUCAUCUCGUCGGUGAAAAGGGAAGCCGGUUAAAAUCCGGCGCUGCCCCCGCAACUGUAAGCGGCAAGUCGACGUCCGAUACCACUGGUGCAGCCGCAUCGGGAAGGCGGGCCAAGACGUUCGAGCCGCAAGUCAGGAGACCUGCCAAAGCAUGAAAGAUGACG
rnacentral:ncRNA from 1 species